CGUCCCUCCCUGUUGAGGCGCACGCUCCGCGCUGUGCACAGGCUGUUCCGCUGGCCCCGCAGGCCGGCACAGCCCCACCAUUAGGCCCCGCUCCAGCGCCAGGCCCGGCCCAGACAGCGCAGGGCGGGCAGCGCUUUGCCGGGACCAACAUCUCCCGCAGACCAGCACGGCACGGAACAGCACAGGCGCCACAACCAGGACAAGAAGUGACCACAGACCGGAGGGGGACCGAGACCCCCAGAGACCCCCAGACCUCAGACCCGUUUCCAGAAAGGUCUGAAAGAACAGGCUGUGCGUGACAACUCAUUGGCACAGAAGACAGAAAGCCACCUUCUGUGGGGAACCCUGUCCCUGCAAAGGUACCCCCAGCAAGCCCAGCAGCCUGGACAUCCCUCCAGCUGCAUCCACGCUGGACACCGGACUGACCCCUUGCACAGGAUGGAGGCGUCACCCAUUCUCACAGGAAGCUUUGCCCCAGGUUCCUGCAGACCAAGGGCACCACUCAGUCACCCCUGGCCCUUCAGUGCAGUUGCAGAACUCACGGGGAAGGCCAGAGCUGCCACCAAGGAGGGAAGCAGAGCCCUGUGGCUGUGGGAAGGACUGACCCUUUGCAGGCUGACAACAUGGAAGGACCCUCCCCAGCUGGGCAAGCUUUGUGCAGCCGUGGUUUCUGUUGCACUCGGGGCAGCUCUUUCCCCUCCUGUCCAUAGGAAGGGGAGUCUAAAGCACUUUGGAGCUCCCUCGGGGAGAGCCAGCCCAUGGCUGGGAGAAAGUAAAUAUUGCACCAGCUGCUUUGGGGGCAGCAAAGGAAACCAGAGCCCUGUCUUGGUUGCAUUUUCCAUUCUCACGCCUCAGCCACUCACCUCCACCUACAGUGUUUGCCUCUGUGGGGCUGUAAGAACAAUCAACCUA